AUUGAACGCUGGCGGCAUGCCUUACACAUGCAAGUCGAACGGUAACAGGUCUUCGGAUGCUGACGAGUGGCGAACGGGUGAGUAAUACAUCGGAACGUGCCCGAUCGUGGGGGAUAACGGAGCGAAAGCUUUGCUAAUACCGCAUACGAUCUACGGAUGAAAGCAGGGGACCGCAAGGCCUUGCGCGGACGGAGCGGCCGAUGGCAGAUUAGGUAGUUGGUGGGAUAAAAGCUUACCAAGCCGACGAUCUGUAGCUGGUNUGAGAGGACGACCAGCCACACUGGGACUGAGACACGGCCCAGACUCCUACGGGAGGCAGCAGUGGGGAAUUUUGGACAAUGGGCGCAAGCCUGAUCCAGCCAUGCCGCGUGCAGGAUGAAGGCCUUCGGGUUGUAAACUGCUUUUGUACGGAACGAAAAGACUCUGGUUAAUACCUGGGGUCCAUGACGGUACCGUAAGAAUAAGCACCGGCUAA
rnacentral:rRNA from 1 species